CGAUCCGAAAACAUAGCGUUCAGAGUUGUAUUUGCGUAAACUUAUUUUAGUAUGCAAUUCAAAAACUAAUUUUUUAAACUAGUUUUUAUGAGACGUUGUGACUACCCCAAAUAUUUUCACAAUGUAUUUAUUUUCAAUUCAAAAUCCACACGGAGAUACUUAAACUGUAUUAAAUACAUAUAUACUAUUUGACAGCGACCUAUUAACUUUAAGUGAGAUCAAAUCUGCGAAUCAGGUGUGAGUCACUUGCGCAUAGAUUUCAGCCCUUGCUGGUUUAUUUAAAGAAGUUGAAGAGUUUGCUAACGUGACUUCUAUAUUGCUUUCCGAAGUUGCUCUCCUUUUCCUCUGCUCACUGCUCAUCGCUCCAAUGCAGACAUAUAGACUCGGGAAUUUCUUUAGUACACCACUUUUUCGCCGCGAAGAGCUAUUUCGCGUAACAUGGGCACACUACUAAUAUGUAAAUAAUCAAUCCGUUGUUUAUUUUUCCACUUUUUCCACUUUUAAUUCUUGUUGUCUAUUUUCGCCCAUUCUAUAUACAUACGUACGCAGCAUGACGUAAAUUUUCAAGUACUUUUUUUGUCUAUUUUUCAUCACCUGUCAGACAUCAGCAGUAGUCGAAGAUUCGGUAGAAGUUUAUUACAAACACAUUUCUAUUAACUUUGUAUACAACCAAAAUACAUCAACAAAUAUACAAUAGUGCACAUUAUACACUCAAUUUAUACGUUUAAAUACCUUGCCACGGGGAGUUAAUGAUGCUUACUGAAACAGCAAAUACUGAUCGUUAUCUGUAAAUAAUUCAUAAUCACAUCAAACGAUCAGAGCAGCAGGUACCGAAGUGUAAGAUGAAUAAAAAUAGUCGGAAUUGUGCUCUUAACAAGCUCAUUGUAAGAUCGGUUGUUAUGUAUUUGCUCUAGCUAAUACUGUUAUUUAUGACGUACGCCUGGAUGUUUUCCGAAGCUCGAAUAAUUGCAAGAACAAGUAUUAAGAGCUUUCAAUCAUCGUUUAACUGACGACUUUAUGAAUGUAUGCUAAAUUAUUUACAUAUAAUAGCGAAAGGUAAGCGAAUUAAAAUAAUUUUUUGUAUGUCAAUGUCGGCGCAUCCCUGAUAUGUCUAACUUUUCGACGACACACCGCUUUCUAAAUAUGAUUUUAAUAUGUAGGAGAGGCAUCAACGGGUCACCAAAAAUGGGGAAGGCUCCAGUGAAAUUGUACUCAAUUUAUUCUAAACUUUAAGUAAUGGAUAUAAUAUUCUGUCAUCUAGAUUUUACACAAAUUGAUUUGAUGACCUACGGCAAUUGGCUCAAAAAGAGCAAGAACAAAUUUUACAUACGCAUUAAAAAUGUUUAUCAUUAAUAAAAAAGGAGUUGAUAUUAUUUCCUACCAGUAAACCCGUGUAAUCAAAGAAAGCUUAUUGUUAUACUUUCGCCAAUGUUACUCGGAGUUGAGCUAACAAUUUUUGCAAUAUCUAAAAAUAUCGAGACGGAUAUAGGGUUAUUUAUAUCAAAAUAUUCAGGAUGAUGACCCGAAAUGAACUCAGUCUGUGAAAGCGAUAGUAUAACACAAUACUGUUCACUUUAAGGAGAAAUUUGAUUGAAAAUCAGAUUAUAAUAUCCUUACAACCGUUAAAUAACAAAUUCUUUGGAUAUUUACUUAGUGAUAUAAGUUUAUAACAAUCAACAUUUUUAAAAUUGAUUUUAUAGUUUCGAAUAUUUUAUUAUUGGACUUCUUAUUAUUACAGAUCGGAUCCCACAGGCUAAACAGUACAAUAUACAAUUAGCACUUUCACUAAUAAUGUUUUCUUUUCUCACAAAAAAGUAUGUUCUUUCCUCAAUACUUUUAUACCCUUAACAGGGUAUAUUAAGUUUUACACGGUGUUUGCGCCAUUUAAAAGAAAACGUCGGGGACCCAAUACAGUGUAUAUACAAAUGAGCAGCGUGGCGAGCUGAGUCGAUUUAGCCAUCUCUGCUCGGCUGUAUAUAGGCAAACUAGUCUCUCAGUCUUUCAUAUAUCGAACUGAAACUUUGCAUACGUCCUUUUCUCACCAAGAAACUGCUUAAGUCGGAACCAGCAAUAUCAGGCAACUGAUCGGAUGAAGUCCUUGUAUGGAAAACUUUUUUAUAUGCCAAGGUAUCGUGACGAGAUUUGAGUAGAUCAUUAUUCAAGGCAUCGCAAAAAUCCCAGAAGAAACUGUUUAGAUCGGACUAAAAUACAUCUAAACACUCAAGCGUACAGAACUGUGUUUAGAAAAGUAUUCAUAUGCCUGUUUAUAAAAAGGCCGUUUGGUAAUUCCUCCUCCCGAGCAGGGAAGAGGGCACAUUGACGCACCUAUAAUAAGAUAGGAUCAAUCACAUCCUCAACGGUUUGGAAACAAAAGGAUAAUAUGUGCUCAGAAACAGAGCAUCAUUGGAGUUAAAUUAUCCUAGAGGCGAUAUCACCAUGACAGUACGUUUUGAUGAAAGCUUUAAAAGUAUCCAUUGGCGCUAAAAGCAACUGGGAGGCCAUUAUUGAAGAAUACUUAAGAAGUAACAGUGUGGUAAAGAUCGGCUCGUAUCCGGUGGAAUUAGUUGAAGCAUGUACUUGUCGGUACCCAUGAAUACUUCUCCAGGAAUUUUAAAUUUGAGUUUAAGGCUCAAACUAUCGGAGUGGAAAAUCCGUUAAGUGAGCAAAUUAAAUACAUAUACUACAAGCCACCUUUACAUAACUAUGCAGGUUAAGUUAAGUGAUAUAAAUACAAUCAACAACUAAAAUCUAAUCUAUUCUAAAUAAUUGAUAACUUUAUUAUUCAUUUAGUAUCAAUACAAAUUAAUAGUUAUUGAA